UGGGGUGGCUGGAUAGUCGCCCCAGCACCUAUCCUUAUGUAUUGUCUGCAGUUGUCGUCCACGCCUUAUGUUUGUGAGGGGUGACAUGGCUAUUCGCAGUCGGCUCAAAGGGAUAGGUGCGGGGAGGAAAGUCCGGGCUUCACAGGGCAGGAUGCUUCCUAACUGGAAGCCCUGCACCUAUGUCUCAUAGGUGCAGGGGGAAAGUGCCACAGAAAAUAUACCGCCCCGCACCUAUUUUGCUAUAUGAAAUCUAUAAGUGGAGAUCGUAAUGUACUAUGUUUACAUCCUGAAGAAAUAUGGAGGCAGCGAGAUCUAUAUUGGUUAUACAAGCGAUCUCAAAAGAAGAUUUAAGGAGCACAAUGCAAAAGGCAGAAGCUGGGAGCUUUUAUAUUAUGAGGCUUACAAGGUUCGUAAAGAUGCUCGUAUGAGAGAAGAGCGACUUAAAUACUAUGGACAGACGCUCAGACAGUUAAAACAACGCAUAAAGAGUAGCCUUAUUAUAGCAAAAUAGGUGCGGGGUAAGGGUGAAAAGGCGAGGUAAGAGCUCACCGACCUGGUGGUGACAUCAGGGGUAAUGGUAAACCCCAUCCGAAGCAAAACCAAGUAAGCCCCGCUUGAAGUGGCCCGCUUUAUCUGCCACCUAGGUGGCGGUUACGGGGUGGGUAGGUUGCGUAGAACCUGGUAGUGAUAUCAGGACAAGAGAAAUGGCUAUCUCAGACAGAACCCGGCUUAUAGGUCACCCCACAUU
rnacentral:RNase_P_RNA from 2 species